rnacentral:tRNA from 1 species
GGCUCCGUCGUCUAGCGGUUAGGACAUCACUCUUUCAAGGUGAAGAUAGGGGUUCGAUUCCCCUCGGAGCUA